UAUUUAAAUGACCGAUGCAUAACAAAGAGUUAUUAUUUAAAUGACCGACAUCUGAAAAUAAGUAACAGAACUUGAUUAAAGUGAGACAAAUUCUCAGUUGAAUAACUGUCUUUGAAUUGGAAAACCGCAGAUUAUACAAACUAUUGGUGCAGAAUAAGAGUCGUUACUUUUUCCUUUUGAGGAUAUAAUGCAUUAGAUGGUCAUGUUUUAUGUGGUUAUCAUCAUAUCUUUGUAUGUCAGUACAUCAUGCAACUCUUUCUUGGCUCGAAUAUUCACAUUUUUUUUCUUCUCAUAGGUAUGAAGGUGAAUGGGUUCGAAACGACCCCGAGGGUCAUGGUGUUGUUGAAGUUGAAAUACCAGUUAUACUGUUCCUGGAUCCAAGUAUGCAUCUCUGAAGUCUUGCAAAUGGACGGUACGAAAUCCCCUAUUAUGAGAGGAAAGCAUGGAUUGAGGAAUUUGGAGAAAAGCCGUUGGCGUUCAAAGCCUAUUUUAUUCUUGGUGCUGACAUGGGUUGUUGAAAAGGUUUGAGAAUUCCAACAGACAAGUCACAUUCUCAAAGAAGGUUAACAAUGUUUUGUGAACUAUGUAGAAAAAGAUGCAGCUAUCUAGCAAGAAGAGGAUAAGGACAUAGAAAUGUUGCCAAAACAAAAGCCAAAGAAGAAGAAGAAGAAAACUUAUAUAUGAAGAAAGUGUUAUGACUUAGUUAAAAUAUAAUUUUUAUGUGUAUGAUUUUAUAGUACUUGAAAUAUUAUGACUGCACAUGAUUUUGUAUACUUUU